rnacentral:rRNA from 1 species
GAUGAACGCUGGCGGCGUGCCUAAUACAUGCAAGUCGAGCGAACAGACGAGGAGCUUGCUCCUCUGACGUUAGCGGCGGACGGGUGAGUAACACGUGGAUAACCUACCUAUAAGACUGGGAUAACUUCGGAAAACCGGAGCUAAUACCGGAUAAUAUAUUGAACCGCAUGGUUCAAUAGUGAAAGACGGUUUUGCUGUCACUUAUAGAUGGAUCCGCGCCGCAUUAGCUAGUUGGUAAGGUAACGGCUUACCAAGGCAACGAUGCGUAGCCGACCUGAGAGGGUGAUCGGCCACACUGGAACUGAGACACGGUCCAGACUCCUACGGGAGGCAGCAGUAGGGAAUCUUCCGCAAUGGGCGAAAGCCUGACGGAGCAACGCCGCGUGAGUGAUGAAGGUCUUCGGAUCGUAAAACUCUGUUAUUAGGGAAGAGCAAAUGUGUAAGUAACUAUGCACGUCUUGACGGUACCUAAUCAGAAAGCCACGGCUAACUACGUG